rnacentral:lncRNA from 1 species
UAUCAACCACCUAUCAUUUGCAGAUAACACCAUUUUGUUCUAUAAUAGUGGGAAAAAACCUCUAAAAAUGGUUCUUGAGACCCUCAAAUCCUAUGAAGGAAUCUCCGGUAACUUAUAAAUAGGCACAAGAGUGGCUUUGUGGUUGCUGAGAACACUAGACCUCGUGAUAUUGUCUGGCUUCAUAACAUCACUGGGAUGAACCACCAGAAAUUUCCUAUCAAAUAUUUGGGGUGUCCUAUCAUUGUUGGGAAGAAGAAAAUCUCUUAUUUUUCUGACAUUGUGAACAAAUUUACUAGUAGAAUAAGGGGUUGGCACACAAAACUACUUUCUCCAGGGGGGAAGGUCCAUCCUCAUCAGACAUGUCUUCAUGGCUCUUCCUAUACACCUCUUAUCAAUGGUUACUCCUCCUAAGGUCACUCUCGAAACUAUUGAGAAAUUCUUAAAUAGAUUUUUCUAGUCGGGGUUGGACAAUGGUGGUAAACAUCAUUGGGCUUCUUAGGACAACCUUUGCCAUCCCUACAAUGAGGGGGGCACCAACUUUAGAAAGCUCUCGGAUAUUUGUCAAUCCUUCAGUGCUAAAUAGUAGUGGUCUUUAAGAACCUCUAACUCCCUGUGGAGUGAAUUGAUGAAAGAAAAAUACUUGGUCGAGAAUCAUCAUCUGAAGGCAAAAUGGAAAAAAGGGCAAGCUCCCUCCUGGAAAGCUCUUUGUGCUACUGGGGAGGUGAUUGAUCAUAACAUUCUCUGGAUAGUUGAUAAAGGGGAGGUAUCCUUCUGGUCCGAUAACUGGAGUAACUUUGGCCCCCUUUAUCACAAAUUGACAACAAAUACUGACAUCUUAGAUGUGCAGCUUAAAGAAGUUUGCCACAAUGGAGAAUGGGAUUGGAAUAUGCUGAACAUUUCCUUACCUGAAGAUGGAAAACGAAGGAUCUUGAAGCAAAAAAAUACUAGUAUAAACAACAACAAAGAGGACAAACUAGUGUGGAUUCUUUCCCACACUGGAAAAUUCUCUCUUUGUUCUACUGGGAGGGAAUUGAGGCAAGAAAGAGCGCCCAACAACCUUGACAGCAGGCUAUGGCAGAACAACAUACCCUUUAAGAUGUAAUUCCUCACGUGGAGAGCCAUCCAUAAUAAACUCUCCACAGAUACGAAUGUUUCAAGGCUAGGAAUCCAUAUGGAUCCCAUGUGUUAUUGCUGUAACAGUAGUAGAGGUGCCACCGAGCUUGAAUCAGUUAACCACUUAUUUUGUCAUGGAGAUUUUGCUAACAAGAUGUGGUCUUUUUUUGCAUGUCCCCUGGGGAUAAAUACGAGCAACCCCAAUUUGAAGUUCACCCUUCUCAGUUGGUGGAACCACAAGACCAAGAACCCCAUCUGCUCACUUAUAAUUAAAAUUAUUCCUGGCAAGAUGUACUAACAAGUAUGAAGGAGAAAGACCUUCAUUAUAUCAAUCCUCCUCUAAUGUAUUAUUCAAUAUUUUACUGGUUCUAAGGAAGAGAUUUGGAAAUGCGAGGAUUGGAGACACUUGGAACUCUGUCUGUCGGGCCUGUGAUCGAGAUAUUCAUCAAACAAAAUCUACCAUCGUCAAAUGGAUUAGACCUCAAACAAACUCGUUAAAACUCAACAGUGAUGAAAGUUGUAUUAAUGGUAAGUGUGGGGGAGGCGGAAUGGUAAGAGAUAACACAGGGAAAAUUAUUUUUGCCUAUGCGAACCAUUAGACCCAGGUUCCAGAAACUAUGCCGAAGUUGCUGCUAUGCUCUUUGGCCUGGUGGUUCUUGAAUAAUGACUCAAGACCUGUUUGGGCGGAAACUGACUCACUGCUUUUAACAAAUUGCAUGAAAAAAGUUUGGAAAACUUCAUGGAAGUUAGCUAGUAUUGUUGACGAUAAUCAGAAACUAGUUGAAAAGAGUUGACUUUCAUAUUACUCAUUGCUUUAGAGAGGCUACUAAGCCAGCUGACAGGCUAGACGCUUUGAGCCACAGAAGUGCUGAGAUUCAAAUCUUCAACUCUUUCUCCGUCUUGCCCCUCGAAGUGAAAGGAUUUGACCAACUUGGAUAGAUGGGGUAUCCCAUCCAUAAGAAUCAAAGAUGUUUCGGAUAACCAUAUCGUAUAUGAUACCUCUUAGUGGCUUGACCUGUUAAGCUCUUUCGGGUAGGAUUACCAAUUCUAUAUUAGCCUCAUCUCAAUGAUUUUGUAUACAGUCUGGGAUGCCAGACUUAACUUGUAACUUUUUUGCACAUCAAUGUUCGAUGAAGGCUGGGUUGAAUUAAAAAAAAAAAACAAAGUUGUUGUUGUGGGUUUUGUCAACUUCCCAAAGGCAGAAAGUUAGAUUUGACAAGACAUUAUUGAAAUUGGUGAGAUAAUGUCCAAGUCCCUUUGCUUGUAGUUAUACUCAAUUACGAUUAAUUACUCCUAAUAAAAGGUCGAUAGAUACUUUGUACUAUCAACUAGUAUAAAUUCACCCAAAAGACCAUUAAUAAGACUUAUCAUUAGAACCGAUGAGAUAAGGCAUAGUCUCUUUGCUUGUACUUACGCUUAUCUAAAAUUUAUUAUUUUAGUUAUAGACUAGGUCAUUGGAAC